AAUAUCCGUGUUUGAGGACAGCCUGGUCUAUAGAGUGAUUCUGGGGCAGCCAGGGGCACAAGAGAAACCCCAUCUCAAAAAAUCAACAGCUGAGUGAGAAAUAUCAGAAGAUUAGUACUGCCGUGCCCUGUAUCCAGAGCCGUGCAGUCUGCGGUGAAGUGAUGGGUUCCUCACACUCUCGGUGACCGAGGGCAAUGCCCCGUGGGGUGGUCUAUGGACUGUUACAGCGAUUGCACCUGGUGAGCAGUUCUGCCAGUAAUGUCUUCAGGCUUACCGCCCAACCACUGGUGUUCCCAUGUUCUCCCUGUCUCCCUCCCUCCCUGUCUCUCCCCUCCAUUUCCUUCUCUCCCUCCCUGGCUAUAAAGCAGUGUAUAAGCAGGCUGGCCUGAAGCAGAUAGUCCUCUACGUCUCCCCCAAGGCCCAUUGACACCUUGUGGUAUUUUUGUUCUCAGAAUCACAGGAUGGGCCUUUGAGUCUCCUUGGCUUCCCUCUGUAGGCAGCUCAGUGCUUCUCUGUCUCCUCCUCCCGCCUGCAUUUAUUGAUAUUCCCCUGGAAACAUGGAGCCCCCAAUUUGUGUUUCUUACCCCUCUCUAAAGUGUAUUUCUGUAAAUAUUUUAGGAUUUGUGAAGUUUUUUGGAAACCUGGCUGUCAUGGAUAGUCCUCAGCAGAUCUGUGAGCGCUACCCUGUCUUUCUGGAGAAAGUGUUUGCAAUGGCAGACAGUCAAGACCCCACUAUGAUUGGUGUGGCUGUAGACACAGUUGGAAUCCUGGGAUCCAGUGUUGAAGGGAAACAAGUUUUACAGAAGACAGGUUGGUGUGCCUUGUCUCAGCUUUUGUAUCUU
rnacentral:lncRNA from 1 species